rnacentral:rRNA from 1 species
ACUGGAGGACCGAACCGACUAAUGUUGAAAAAUUAGCGGAUGACCUGUGGCUGGGGGUGAAAGGCCAAUCAAACCGGGAGAUAGCUGGUUCUCCCCGAAAGCUAUUUAGGUAGCGCCUCGUGAAUUCAUCUCCGGGGGUAGAGCACUGUUUCGGCUAGGGGGCCAUCCCGGCUUACCAACCCGAUGCAAACUGCGAAUACCGGAGAAUGUUAUCACGGGAGACACACGGCGGGUGCUAACGUCCGUCGUGAAGAGGGAAACAACCCAGACCGCCAGCUAAGGUCCCAAAGUCAUGGUUAAGUGGGAAACGAUGUGGGAAGGCCCAGACAGCCAGGAUGUUGGCUUAGAAGCAGCCAUCAUUUAAAGAAAGCGUAAUAGCUCACUGGUCGAGUCGGCCUGCGCGGAAGAUGUAACGGGGCUAAACCAUGCACCGAAGCUGCGGCAGCGACACUGUGUGUUGUUGGGUAGGGGAGCGUUCUGUAAGCCUGUGAAGGUGUGUCGUGAGGC